ACAACCAUUUUUCAAACGACCACACAUUUUUUUUUCUCGAAUACGCACAAGCAUGCGUAUCAUAUAUUGAUAGAAGAAAGGGUGAAGAGACCCAUCCACAGUUUGAGUACAAUGCCAAAAGGCAAAAACACACCACGCUAAUCCCUGGGAUUAGAACCACACCUACUACAGACGAGAAUGAGAGAACUUGCCUUGCCCUAUCCCUAGCCAAGAAAGCAAAGAAGAUGGGGCACCGAGCAAACAGGCCGCGUCACUACCGUUGCAAGCAACAUCCAAGCCACACUGACAACUACAGAACUAACUAGAUCAACGUACCUCCCACCACUAGUGCCUAGAAGAGUCGGCUGGUGGAUGGCAGAACCUAGCCGGGCCUGAAGAAGAAGACGCGCAGGAUGCGCCGCGAUGGCAUACAUAGCGCCCUAGAGGCCCAUGUCCCAAGGGGCAACCCACACCAAAAGCAAGACGCUCCAAACUCUAGCUCCGAGGACUCCGCGAGCAGCCAAGGCGGCGCCUUCAUGAAGGUAACGACGCCGUGACGCCGCCGUCGCCUGUUCCGAAGGGCCGGAACAAGGGUUUCCCCCGGAGCUCGAGGAGGGACAUGAUCAGGACCAUGGCAGCGCCCCAAGAAGGAAACGGCACCCACAGGCGUCGUCGCUGCCAGCAUCGGCAAGCCGUGCGGAGAUUUCGCCCCGUCCAUGAACAAAGUCCAAACCACCGGAGCCACGACCAGGGAGUAGAUUGCCGGGUGAGUUCACCGCUACAGGAAGGCAAGAGACACUCAUCAACGUUGCAGAGAGGUGACACCGGACGCCGCCGGCCUCCCCUCCACCAACAGCGACCACGACCGACCGUCCUCAAAGUAUGAGGCGGAUCCGUCGGACCACCACCCAGAGCCGGCGCUCUGGCAUCCCGAAUCCACAGCGGGCCGCGUAGCCUACCGGAAUCCCACCGUCGAGCGCGCCGACCGUCGGACAGAGCCAACCUUGAGCAUCGCCGGCACCACACCACCACCACCAACCAUCCUCAACCACGCCGGAAAAGGGAGCAACCCAGGCGCGCAACCACCACCGCUCGGGGCCGCCGGUCGGCGCCCGAGCCCACACCACCCGGAGGAAACCGGAUCUGGGUCGGAUGCCCGAGAUCCGUCGCCACCAGCCGCCAAGGCCGCCCCCCACGCUGCCCCUGCAGCCGUGGCGGCACAGCCACCGCCGGAGUCCCCUGGGGCCGCCGCCCCAGCAUCCCGCAUCCACCGCGCCGUCGGACGCCCAGGGGCGCCGUCGCGCCGCAGCCGGAGGCCUCCUCGCAAGGAACGCAGGCGAGCCCGCCACCGCCGUCAGCCAAGUGAGCUUCGCUCGCCGGCCUCCUCCGGCGGCGGCGGGGAGAGGAGAGUCGGGGGCGGCGGCGGCUAGGGUUCGCCCGAGCCGCCCCCCUGGAGGCAGCGCGGGCGACGGGCACCUUCCAGCGAACAACAGUGACAGUGCUCCUAACGACCACACAUUUGAGAAUUGUCAACUUAAGAAUACUCAAGGGAUACUGAAGCACUGCAUCAACUAAAUUUAUGAGCAUGCACCGCAAACUAAUUCGCUGUGACAACUAGCUUUUUCAAUCAAGAAGCCGUAAUUAACAAUAGGCCCUAACCUUUUCGUCCAGCCCGGAGCCUCCGGGUUUACUUUCCCGGUUGAAUGGGCGGACUGUGUUGGCAAGCUGUUCUUCCUUCACCUAGCAUGGAAACCACUUCUCUGCGGGCUGCGGUCAUGGACCUCCCGGGCGUAGCCGCAUGCACACUUCGAGCCACUUUCCAUGCCGGAAUCGGUCCGCC
rnacentral:lncRNA from 1 species